UGUGCGAUUGCUGGGUCAUAUGGUAAGAGUAUGCUUAGUUUUGUGAGAAACUGCCAACUGUUUUCCAAAGUAGCUGUACCUUUUUGCAUUCCCACCAGCAAU
rnacentral:pre_miRNA from 1 species